rnacentral:rRNA from 1 species
GAUUGAGUUUGAUCCUGGCUCAGGAUGAACGCUGGCGGCAUGCCUAAUACAUGCAAGUCGAACGGAUAUCUUCGGAUAUGAGUGGCGAACGGGUGAGUAACACGUAGGGAACCUGCCUGCAUGAGCGGGAGAACUUCUGGAAACGGAAGCUGAUACCGGAUGAGCAAAGAGGAGGCAUCUUCUUUUUGGAAAAGGGGACAAGAGUCCCGCAUGCAGAUGGACCUGCGGUGCAUUAGCUGGUUGGAGAGGUAACGGCUCACCAAGGCGACGAUGCAUAGCCGGCCUGAGAGGGCGGACGGCCACACUGGGACUGAGACACGGCCCAGACUCCUGCGGGAGGCAGCAGUAGGGAAUUUUCGUCAAUGGGGGGAACCCUGAACGAGCAAUGCCGCGUGAGCGAGGAAGGUCUUCGGAUCGUAAAGCUCUGUUGCCGGGGACAAAAGGCAGAAAGAGUGGAAAGCUUUCUGAGUGAUGGUACCCGGCGAGGAAGUCACGGCUAACUACGUGCCAGCAGCCGCGGUAAUACGUAGGUGGCGAGCGUUAUCCGGAAUGAUUGGGCGUAAAGGGUGCGCANGCGGCCGGGCAAGUCCGCAGUAAAAACUGGAGGCUCAACCUUCAGGGGCUGCGGGAACUGUCCCGCUGGAGAGCAG